rnacentral:rRNA from 1 species
CCUACGGGUGGCUGCAGUGAGGAAUAUUGGUCAAUGGGCGGGAGCCUGAACCAGCCAAGCCGCGUGAGGGAAGAAGGUACAGCGUAUCGUAAACCUCUUUUGUCAGGGAACAAAGUCGGGGACUAGUCCCCGGAUGAGGGUACCUGAAGAAAAAGCAUCGGCUAACUCCAUCCCAGCAGCCGCGGUAAUACGGAGGAUGCGAGCGUUAUCCGGAUUUAUUGGGUUUAACGGGUGCGCAGGGGGCUUGUUAAGUCAGCGGUAAAAGCUCGGGGCUAAACCCCGGCGAGCCGUUGAAACUGGCGGGCUGGAGUUGGGGAGAGGUACGCGGAAUGCGUGGUGUAGCGGUGAAAUGCAUAGAUAUCACGCAGAACCCCGAUUGCGAAGGCAGCCUUCCGGCGCCCUACUGACGCUGAGGCACGAAAGUGCGGGGAUCGAACAGGAUUAGAUACCCUUGUAGUC